rnacentral:rRNA from 1 species
UUUUGUAGACAUUGGGGGGUCGUGAAGACUCUAUCAGUUAGUAUUUGUUCUCGAAAGGGCUUCGAUUAAUAUUGAAUAAUCAGACAUAGUACGCUAAGGUUGUAUGUCUAAAGGGAAACAGCCCAGAACAAGUGUAAAUAAGGUUCCAAAAUUAUUAUUAAGUGAAACAAAGGUAGUUAUCUCUUAAACACCCAGGAAAUUGGCUUAGAGGCGGCCAUUUUUUAAAGACCUCGUAACAGAGCACUGGUUUUUAUUUUAAAUUAAAAGAAUGUAAAAAAUUAAAUAAAUUUAUACUGGGAAAAGCACCUACGAUUCCACGGAUCUAAAUAAUAUACCGAAACCUUGUCCAUGUUUAUUUAUAUAUAUGCUUGUAUAUAUACAUACGCGCGUUUAUUUAGGACUAAAUAGUAUGCAUACUACAUAUAUAUAUAAUAAAAUGGGGUAGCGGAACAUUGGGCAAACCACACUUUUUUUGUAUAAAAAUUUUUAGGUACCCCAAGUGAUAAUGCUGACAUGAGUAACGAUAAAGGGAUAAAUCCCUCGCCUAAAGCUUAUGGUAUUUAGUUAAAGUAACGGCCUCUAAGUUUAUAAAUAAAAAACUAAAGUAUUUUUCCCGAUAUACGGAUAGUAAUUAAAAGUAUUUUAGUUAACCUAAAGGAUUAAACGAUGAGCAAAUCUUUAGAAUAAAAAUAUAUAUAAAUAACAUUUUAAACAAUUUUUCUCCGUUAGACUUUCGUUAGACUUUCGUUAGACUUUCGUUAGACUUUCGUUAGACUUUCGUUAGACUUUCGUUAGACUUUCGUUAGAAAAGUGUAAAAGUGAAAAGUGUUCUGGAAAAUUGUAUUUUUUACCACUUUACCUAAAACGCGUGAUUUAUAUCAUUCGUGGAAGAUAAACUAAAUAGAUGAACCAAUUUAAAGUGGUUACCGUACCUAUAUACUACCACAAGUAAGCAAGUAGAG